rnacentral:rRNA from 1 species
CAUGGCUCAAGAUGAACGCUGGCGGCGUGCUUAACACAUGCAAGUCGAACGGUGAACACGGAGCUUGCUCUGUGGGAUCAGUGGCGAACGGGUGAGUAACACGUGAGCAACCUGCCCCUGACUCUGGGAUAAGCGCGGAAACGGCGUCUAAUACGGAUAUGUGACGUGACCGCAUGGUCUGCGUCUGGAAAGAAUUUCGGUUGGGGAUGGGCUCGCGGCCUAUCAGCUUGUUGGUGAGGUAAUGGCUCACCAAGGCGUCGACGGGUAGCCGGCCUGAGAGGGUGACCGGCCACACUGGGACUGAGACACGGCCCAGACUCCUACGGGAGGCAGCAGUGGGGAAUAUUGCACAAUGGGCGCAAGCCUGAUGCAGCAACGCCGCUGAGGGACGAGGGCCUUCGGGUUGUAAACCUCUUUUAGCAGGGAAGAAGGAAAG